rnacentral:rRNA from 1 species
AGUGAACGCUGGCGGUAGGCCUAACACAUGCAAGUCGAACGGCAGCACAGUAAGAGCUUGCUCUUACGGGUGGCGAGUGGCGGACGGGUGAGGAAUACAUCGGAAUCUACUUUUUCGUGGGGGAUAACGUAGGGAAACUUACGCUAAUACCGCAUACGACCUACGGGUUAAAGCAGGGGAUCUUCGGACCUUGCGCGAUUGAAUGAGCCGAUGUCGGAUUAGCUAGUUGGCGGGGUAAAGGCCCACCAAGGCGACGAUCCGUAGCUGAUCUGAGAGGAUGAUCAGCCACACUGGAACUGAGACACGGUCCAGACUCCUACGGGAGGCAGCAGUGGGGAAUAUUGCACAAUGGGCGCAAGCCUGAUGCAGCCAUACCGCGUGAGUGAAGAAGGCCUUCGGGUCGUAAAGCCCUUUUAUUGGGGAAGAACAGCUGUAGAAUAAUCUGCCGAUGUUCUGACGGUACCCAAAGAAUAAGCCCCGGCUAACUUCGUG